UUAUUUUCAUCCCUUCUUUCUAGCAAGCAGGCCCCGGAGCCUCACUGUCUUGGAACUGGGAGAAGAGUCGAGGUCCUCAGAUGGAAAGACGUGAGAGACUACCUCCUAAAGCACACGGACACAAACAACACACGGAGUCACGCCUGGGGUGUCUCACCAGCCUGCAUCUUCUCCCCGGGGACUACUGGCCCACGCACCCACGGGCUUCUGGACUUCACUCUCCCCUUUCUGCCCCCUAUGCUGGCUUUUCCCAACCAAGUAUGAAAAGGGCCAGGAGAGUCACGCUACCUACAACCAGCACCUGCAACGGACGCAGAACAACCAUGGAGAAACAAGUGUCUCUCGGGAGAGGGAAAAUACUACUACUAAAAUGGAAAUGAAGCCACCCUAAAUCUAGGGAGCAGUUAUAUCAGGGGGCGCAGCCCAUCUGGUUCUGAAAGUGACCAAGGUGAGAAGGAAUUAAAUUUCGAUACUGGCGGUGUUUCCUGCCUGCAGGCGUGUCUGCUUGGGGAUGCUCAAUCACUCCUGCUCCCCCUGAAAUCUUGAACACCGACUGCACCCACAAAAGCCUGAGAAUUCACAGAGGGCCGCUGCUGUCAGCCUACAGGACAUACACCAGCGUACUCUGAGCGAGCAAACUGGAUUUACAGCUCCCAACACCAUGGGUGGCAGGUUCUGGGAGAGGCAGUUCUGAAGGACAAAGGAGCAUAACAUGAGGCCCUGGAGUGGCCGAGAUGAAUUUCGGGCUCUGAAGUACCGUGUCAGUCUGUUUCAUCUGUGUAGUCCUGGCGACAAGGACUCUGAACACCCCAGGCGAGCAGUGAGGGGUCGCGAAGUCAGUGCGGCACCCCAGGGGAGCAGAAGCAUUCCCCAGAAUGCAGCCAGCCAGAGAUCCAGGGUAAGGCAGUGAGGGGGCUGAGAUAGGGGCAAACGUGCUGGUGAAGUCUGGCUUGGUCACGAAUUCUUCAAAAGUGCCCAUUUGACCCUUAGGGUUUUUGCACUGAGCAGACUAUGCCUGCCUGGUGGGGUGCUGACCAAAUUGUGUUUAUGUUAGGUCAGCAUCACUUCAACCCCAAAGAAGCACAUCUCCUCUCUCUCUAUGGUUGACAGUCACUCUUCUCCAACGCCUCAGUGACCGCGGUUACCGCCAUGUUGGUCUAUAGUAAAAUCUCAUGUCUAGACCACGGCAGACCAUCGGAAGGUCCAUCUGUAAAAAUACCUGGCUUGUACCUCCACCCACAUACCUGCCACAGUUCCGCUAAGAAGACAUAUCCUGAGACCUGUAUGUACAAUGCCAAGAGUCAAACAUUUAAAACCCUACUCAAGUCUCA